rnacentral:rRNA from 1 species
AUAUAUGACCAUACCACCCUGAACGCACCCCAUCUCGUCUUAUCUUGAAUACUAAGCAGGGUUGGGCCUGGUUAGUACUUGGAUGGGAGGCCGCCUGUGAAUACCAGGUGGUGUAGGUU